GACGAACGCUGGCGGCGUGCCUAAUACAUGCAAGUCGAACGCAGUGGGGACGGGUGAGUAACACGUGGGUAACCUCCCAUCAGAGGGGAUAACACUUGGAAACAGGUGCUAAACCGAUACUGAUGGAUGGACCCGCGGUGCAUUAGCUAGUUGUUGAGGUAACGGCUCACCAAGGCCACGAUCCAUAGCCGGCCGGAGAGGAUGAUCAGCCACACUGGGACUGAGACACGGCCCAGACUCCUACGGGAGGCAGCAGUAGGGAAUAUUCGACAAUGGGCGAAAGUCUGACCCAGCCAUGCCGCGUGAGUGAAGAAGGUUUUCGGGUCGUAAAGCUCUGUUGGUGAGGAAGCGGUAUCUAACCAGAAAGCCACGGCUAACUACGUGCCAGCAGCCGCGGUAAUAC
rnacentral:rRNA from 1 species